rnacentral:lncRNA from 1 species
AAUAAUACACACAGUUGCAAAUAAACAUGAAGAGCACAGGAAAGAGCAGCUCAAAUCCCAAGGCAACCGGAAAAUCCGGUCACGAAGCCCGAAAAGAUCGCCAGUCCGGCACCGGAGUCACCGGAUCACCGAAGAAAGGCGGUCACGGCGGCAAGUUCACCUGGUCCGGCGAUAACGCAAACCUCGGGAACGAUGAGUUCAUCGUCGCCGUUGAUCGUAAUGACCCUAACUUUGAAGAUCCCGAUGUUGCUGUAGCGGAGAAUUAAUAGAUUAUUAUUCGAUAGAUGUAUGUAUGUAUAUGUUUGUUUUUCUGGUAUUAAGUUGUAUCGAUAUAUGGAUUUAUCUCUGUAUGAUGAAGUAUCGAUCAUAAUAAAAUUGUCGCGAUUUAAUUUUUCUCGUAACAUCGAUCCGGUCCGGAGUCCGAAAAUAUGUUUAUAAUAAUAUAAUGAAAGAUUGUGAUAAUAUGCAUAUCAGAAUACAAUGCAACAACGAAGUGUUGUGUGUGAAAUUAGAAUGAUACAAGAGCAUAUGUAUGUUUUCAACUGCAGGACACUAAACAAGAGGCGAAACUCGAUCAAAUCAAAAUUUAAAACUUGCUGAUUAUGUAACAAAGUGUUAUUAGAGACCGGAAGCACGGUGGAUGCUGCUUCGUUGAGUGGAUUGAGUUUACAUUUACAGGUACACUUCACUUUCCUUGUUCUGUUGCUAUGUGUUAGUUACAUUUUUAGAGAAUGUAGUAAUUGUUUGGCGAAUAAUUGUAAAUUUUUAAAGACUGUGUAAUUGUUUAGGGAUUAAUUGUUUUGUUGUUGAAGGCGGCUCUACGGAUCAGAAUAUCUGGACAUAUAUAAUCCUGAAUUGAAGCAUUGUUGCAAUUUGUUGAUUUUGUAAUUUGGAUCUGUGGAAAAAGGAUUCUGUUGAACUUCGUUUCUUCGUGUAUUUUCUUUCUGUUUCAUCGUUGGAAGGUCUCGGUUAGGUGAGAAGUGCUAGAGACACAAUGCAUUUGUUAGGGGAAUUUCGGAAAAUAAAGUUGUUACAAGUGUGUUGAGUUCUUAAUUUGGAUAAGUACUGGAAAAAAGAGUUUGUCGAAAUUCUUUGUAUUAUUUUUGUUCGUUGCAAAUGCUGAUGGUAAGAUAUAAUGUAGGAAUUUUCUGAGAAAAAAAAUAGAAUAAGGUAUUAAGAUAUUUCGAAAUGGUCGGCCGUUACUUGACUUCAUUAUAGGAAAUUCACUUAAAUUUAAGCAAAUCAAGGCAUUUUGCAUAUGGUGCUUAGGACGGAAGCAACUGUAUAAGUCCUGAUCCAAAGUUGUUCGUCUUAGAUUGAAUCAUUGUUAAGUGCAGCAUAAUAGUAACAGUUUUGGCUUGCUGAACUGAGUGGGUGCAAGGAGCAUUGGUAAUAUAUCAUAGUGCUUGUUUGGCAACUUUUGGUAGUAGUAACUCCCAAAGCUUCGAUAUAGAGGACCUUUAUUGCUAUAUGGUUAGGUGGUGGUUCACCUUGAAAUUGUAUCUGGUAUGGCAAAGAAAUUGCUAUGGGAUUAAGUAUACAAUAUUAGUUAACCGGGCUCACUUAUCACUGAUCAGGAUUCCCCUUGGUAUUAUUCUGUCUAUCAUUUAUUUUAUAUAUUGCUGUAUAUGAAUAACAUUCAUUUGUUAAUUCUAAGACUUCAUAAUAUAUUGUAUUAUGUAUAGGAUACUUCAAGUGUACUUCCUCUCCUUUAUAUUAUCUUUACUAGCUUAUGACCCGUGCCAAGCACGGGUUUAAAUUAUUUUCUUAAAUUUAUUAUAUAUUAUAAUUAUAGGGUCGCGCUCAUGAGAAAACCUAUCCUUAAAAUAGAACCUUAGUGAUAGAAUCACUAAGUUUCUGCUGCAGAAUCCUAAAUUUUAAAUAGAUUUUCAGGAUCUAAAUCUAAAUACAUGUUUUUUGUAUCGUUGUAUGUGUUCAAAAGCAAUUUAAAAAUACAAUACAUAAAUACGACACUUUUUGCAUGUGCAGUCCGUAGAACCCUAAUUAAUACUAGAAAUAACGCUAAGGUUUCUUAGGCUAAGAUUUCUAAGAGGACCAUGACCCUAUAAUUAUAAUUAUAAUCUCUUUUAUUUGAUUAUACACUAUCUUUGUUUAGAUACAAUACUUUCUAUGUAUUGACUUUUGAUCCUUUUUUACUUUUUUUUCUACAAAAAUUAGGGUUUUAUAUCAAACCAGCUACCUAUGGAACGAAAUAUCUCAAGUAGACCACUUAUUCUAACGAGGUCUCAUUCAAAACCUUAAAAUUAAAUUUUAUAUCAUGUCGCUAACUCCAAUUUAAAAAAAAGAUGAAAAAUGUUAAAAUAUUCACUCUGUUUUAACGAGGAUUAUCUGUAGAAACAUAGUGAGAGCGAGGAUACUGAGAAUAAUGGAUCUCAUCACUCUAUUUUUACAUUUUUCGUCUAUUUUUUUCAUAAAUUAAAUUGUUUGAGUUUCAAAAAUUAAAACAAAUAGUUAUGUUGGUGAUAUAAUUUUGUUGAUGGGAUAGUCGUUACAUUACAGAAUCCUGAAAAAUAUGGAAGUCUUUUCAGAGUAGUAUAAUAAUAGUAAUUAUUACAAAUAAACAAAAAUUACAUGAUAAUAACCAAAUUUUGGUACUUUGGUAUUUACUAUUUCUGAUGUUCCACUGAAAGGGGGUUUUGCUAAUUAAUGAAGAGUAUAGAUUACACAAAAUUAACCUUCUAAUUUUUGGAAACCUGAAUAAUUGGAACAAAUGCUGUUUAGUAAGUGGAUUUGCUCGACACAAUUGUACACUUACAUCAUCUUUUGUCGUUUCAUUUAAACUGUAUCAGUUAAAAUGUUGACAAUGUCCACCAAGGUGCACACAACACUCUGAGAGUAGAACUUGAGAUCACAGGAUACACUUUUUCAUCCUACUUGAUCACAGUUCACAAAAGAAAAAUAUAAUUGAACCAUCCACCUAUAAAUUUAGUUUUGCUGUUUGUUUUCCGAAUAUUUUUAUGCAUUUAUGUUAGCACACCAUUGAGGACUAGUGACACAUGUAUUAUAGCUUUGGAGACUCUCCAAAUUUCAUGUUGUACAGCACUCCAUGUAUUAUUGGCCAAAUGUAUACUUGCGCUUGGCCCUCUAUCUGGUGUCACUGAUCCAGGGUAGGAUACUGAUCCAUGAGCAAUAUGCUCUGAUGGUGCAUAAAUCUGAGAUACGGAGCAUGAGCAGUAUGCUCUGAUGGUGCAUAUAUAUGGUUUUAAUUUUAGACUGGAGGUAUUCAAAGUUAGAAUAGCUGUUNAGGGAAAGACGCAUACCAAGUGCUUAUACCAUGGUCGUCCAAGCAGUCCAUCUCUGUCUAUAAAUACUCGUUCUGCCAUCAUCAGUCUGUAAUUAACUGUCUCACCUGCCAAGCUUUACUUCUUCACAUUGAUGCCCAUCCUUCGGAUCCUUGUAUUGCCUGAGAGUCUAGCCUCUUUUAUAUCUAGACAUUGAUAAUUGAGCUUUAGUUUCUUACUUCUUAGUGAUGACUGAUGAGCUAUACCAUUCUUCAUAAUUAAUAUAUGUGGCUGCUAUUUUCAAAUCUUCAAUAGACUUGAACAAGGGAGUGAGUUUGUCCUUUUCCAAAACCUCACUCAUAAUGUUGUCAUCAUAUUGAGUGGUAGACUAGGUAACCUGCAAUUGGCAGCCAAUCCUAUAGGUCCCAAAUAGCAUAACUCCUUUACAAUUAAUACCAAGCAGUCGAAGUGGUAAUAUAUCUUUUUUAUAAAUGAUUAUACAACCAUGUUAUCUGCAGUAUGUUCUUUUUCCUGGUGGCAAAAGGCUCUGCAAUUUUAGCACACAUUAUUCAUGUCGAGCUCAAGAUUAGUUCUAUAUUGUAGGCAUGGGUCAGUUGUGUUAUAUCUCUUUCUUAAGAUUGUAGCUUAGCGGCAUAAUCAUGUUGUACAAGCAGCACUAUCAGAGUUCCUAGGCAAUCAUAUCUAAUGGUCUAAAUGAAUGCAAAACAAGAAGUUAUAAAGUUAAUAAUGUGCUAUUUUGUUAUAUUAGCAUAUGUUAUUCCUUCAAAAAAAAAAAGUAUAUGUUAUAAAAUCUCUAUGUUAUUUUGUAAUUAAAUAUAAACAUCACCUGAAUAAGAGAUGAAUCUGAGGUUAAGUACCAUUUUUUUUUUGCUUUUUACUAAGAUUUUACUGUGUUCCACGUUCUAGACCUUUCUUUAAAUCAUUUUCACUUUCUAUUAUGGCAUUUUCCAGCAGACCUUGCAUGGACUAAAUAAACCGAGUUAUAUAUAUCAUAUAUGCAUCUCCUGGCCAAAUUUCUAAUAUAGGUCUCCCUGGUUCUUGCAUAUGUUGUUGUGUGACCUUUGUAAGCUAAAUUACAUUCUAUAAUAAAUUCCUGUUCUAAUUCUUAGUUUCUUUUAUCUGUUUCAUUUUGCAGUAAAACACUGUUAUAGUAUAAUUUAUCUUCUGCUAUAUUAAGGCUGGAAAACGUUAGAUGCUUUGUUUCUUGUUCCAAUUAUUUUCCUGUCACAGUUCCUGAUGUCAAGUCUACUAGAUAUGAGGUAGAUCUGAUUUUCCACAUUUUUCUAUAUAACAUAAUCCUAAUCUUUGCUAAGCUAUCAAGUGAAAACCAAUGUUUUAUAAACAUAUUUAAGUCACAUAUGUGUAGUUAUAAACUUAUAAUCAUGAAUACCUGAUACAUAUAAGUGCAUAAAAGAUGAUAUUAUAUUACCUUUACCAAAUGAUGUAUCAGCUGCUGGAACACCUACAUUCUGUAAAAAUGCUGCAUAGUAUGAACCUGCACCUCCAACCUUCCUAUCUUUAAAUGUACAAUAAUUUAUUCCAACUGAUAAAUUGAGCCUAAAAUAUCAAUCAUCUUAUAGCACGUCUGGAUCUGGUGAAACAGCUCAUUUUCUAUACUUAUUACGAAUAUGGGGUUCACCCUUCCCAUCUGAAAUGUUGUUAUAUGCUUACCUUAAGAUUGACGGCAGCUCUGGUCCAUGAGUCAAAGAUUGUAUGUGAUGGGUUAUCUGGAUCUUGAACCUUAAAGAGUAAUUUGACAUCUUAGGCAUGAUUUGCGUGUGAUAUUUCUUUAAAAAUCUGACAUCCAUCUCCUUUAGAUGCACCCUGGCAAAUUCAUAUUCUAAAAUCAAACCUGGCACAGGCAUUAGUUUAGUUUAUUCUGUUGUUUGUCAUAGUUUAUAUUACAAUCACUUGACAUGUUAGGGAUCAUUUUGUUAAUGGCAAUGGGAGUGCGGUAGACAGGAAUAGGAAAAUUUGGAAUCCCAUGGGGUACAUCAAUAUCUCCUCCCUUGUCUACCUCAUGGUCAGAUUUUCUUCACGUCUUUUUACUUGGCCAGCCUUGCGGGGUUGGAUCUUGGAUCACCUAAAUUUUUAUACAGGGAACCCGCCUGGACUCCACUUGGUGGUAUCCACUUAUCACCAGGAAACCCUUUUGCAUCACCUCCACCACCAUAGUCUUUUCUAUCUGUGACAACACGGCCCCCAUAGCACCUGGUUCGUAUGCAUCUGUCACAAUGUACCCUCUAUAUAAUCGUCCUAUCCUAGUUAAUAUUACAGUACCUAGACUAUUCGAACCUUGGGCGAGUUUUCUUCUAGUGUAGUGAAAUUCUUGUGAAGUCCUUAUUAAAGUUAUCCUCGGCUCCUUUGUAAUCCUGGUUCUGAUAUAUAUUUUAAUCCUCUAGUACAUGUUCCACCAGUUUUUAUGUCGAUGGUCGAAUGAACAGUGUCUCUAUAGAAGUUAUUCAUCUUACUUAAUACCUUGUCAAGUUUGGAAACAAUAACUGGUUUGGCUUGCUGGUGCAAGUUGGUGUGAGAAUAAGCUUAUGUGAAGAAAUCGCGGUUUAUUGGUUCUUGGUUGGCAUUUACAUAUGUAGAUUGAACUUUAGUGCUCUGUAGUUAGGUGGUGGCUCACCGCUCACCUUAAGAGUUUAAACUUUGCCUAGUUGUAUUGGCUCAAGGUAGUAAUUCAUUUGUUUGAAACUAUAUGGAAGUUAACAAUAACAUAAAAUAGCACAUAGAGCGAUACCUGCUGACUGCUAGGUCUAUGUAUGUAUUAUCAUGUCCAGUUCUAUAGUUUUUGAAAACCUUGAAAGAAUAUGUCCCUGCAAAUGUUUAAUAUUCCAUGUUUUUUUCAUUAAUGUAAGUUGUUUUCCUAUAGUAAUGGUAGUGGCCUGUCAAAUAGUUGUCCACAAUCUUCUAUUGCCAUUAUUUCAAAUUUGGAUUUGUUAUUAUUUUGACACUGUUCACCCAAUUGCACACAACUCUCAGAAUUUGGCUUUGAUAAUAUAGGACAUUAAUUUUUCAGCUUAUGUGCCCGCAAAGAAAGUAUUUAUAAAAGCUUUCACCUUGAAAUAAUGAGUCCCGGAUUGUUUAUUUUGCAUAUAUUUUAUGCACUCAUGUAAGCACACCAUUUAGGACUAAUGAUACAUGUAUAACAGCUCUAGAGACUCUCCAGACUUCAUGUUGGACAGAACUCCAAGAUUCUAUUGUGUUCUCUUGCUUGGCUUUUUCUAUGGCAUCAGUGAUGCCAGGGAAGGAUACUGAUCCAUAAUCAUCAUGCUCUGAAGGCGCAUAAAUCUGAGACAAAAGACAUUUGCUUUUUAGUAUUUAGAUGAAUAUAUGAUUUAAAACUGAGACUAUUUGAAGAUUGAGUUGUGAGUAUUGAGUAUCUGUUAUGAACCCAAAUUCAACAACAAACAUUUGUUAGGUUUUGUUACAGGAAAGAGACACAUACCAAGUGUUUAUACCAUUGUCGUCCAAGCAGUCCGUCUCUGUCCAUAAAUGCUCGUUCUGCCAUCAUCAGUCUGUCAUUUAACUCUCUGACUUGCCUUGGUUUAGUUCCCCACAUUGAUGCCCAUCCUUUGGAUCUUUCAAGUGCCUGAAAAUCAAGCCUUGUUUAUUUUCAUAAACGGCAAAGUAAGAUCCUAUUUCUUAGUGAUAUAAGCCGCACCUUUAUUUCAUUAUCUAUUUUGGUGGCUGCAAUUUUUAAAUCUUCAAUAGACUUGAACAAGGGAGUGACGUCUAUGUUCUUAUCAAUAAGCUCAUUUGUAAGUUCGUCUGCAUUUUUCUGUAUUAGAUUCAGAAAUGAAUGACAAUGUGUGGCAGAUACGUUAAGUGGUGUAUGUCAUGUACUUGAAUAUGCGGCUAAUAUAGGAUGUAGGUAUACCUGGAGCUCAAAUGCAUAGGACAAAUAAUUAAAAGGUAAAAAUUCCUCAUCUGCAAGUGAAAGAGCUACUAAGCCCCAAAUGCUUGCCACUGUGCCAAAAUAACGUUUUAAGCACAAAUGUUAAUUUACAAGUAUGCUUAUGCGUGUAUAGGACUAGAGUUCUAAUGGUGUAAUUGUGCAGAUAUGCUUGAUAUGGAAGACACAAAAACCUGCUACAUGUCUGCGAAACAUCGGGUCACCAAAAUCUCUCAUCCAAAUGAAGUCAUCAUACAUUGAGUGGUAGACUGGGUAACCUGCACUGCAACUGAUAUAGUAAGUCAUAAAUUUAGCAACAAUAAUGAUUCCUUUACUUGCAACAGUAAGUGGUUAUAGAAAUGCCAACUGAAUCUUAUUUUAUGCAGAAUGGUGUUUUCCUUGAUAAAGUUCUGCAAUAUUAGCACACAAGUUUUGCACAACUAACUCUAGAAGGGGGAUGCUAGAGGCAGGUCAGUUGUCUGUGGCAAGACAUUUUAGAGUUCCGACGUUAUGUUGCUAACCAUUUCAUCAGUUCAUUUUAGCUUCAAACUCCCAUUUAUUUACAACUUUAACAAUGCUUGUGAAUCGUGACUGGGGUUGGGUAAAUUAAUUCCUAUCUUAAAUAUCUACCUAUAAUUUUUAUUUAGGCCUCAUUUUGCGGUAGAAGCCAGGAAGUUCCAAUUUUUUUUUGUUAGAGCUAUAAACUUGAUCCUUUGUUCCUUGUUGCUAAUUCUUACUGUCAUAGAUUCUGAUGUUAAGUCUAUUAGAUAUGAGGUGGAUCUACCUUCACAUUUCUAUUGCAUCCUAAUAUAUGACCAUUAACUAUCAAGUAAAAAUCAUAAAAAUCUUCAAGUCACAUAUAUGAUGUAUGCAGUUAUUAACAUUACAGAUUAGGGUAUGAUCUGUAACCUUAGCAGAUAAAAGUUCAUAGAAUGAAGUGUUGCUACCUUCACCAAAAGACAUAUCAGCUGCUGGAAUACCUACAUGCUGUAAAAACGGUGCAUAGUCUGAACCUGCACCUCCUAACCUUCCGAUCUUUGUAAAAACAUUAGUUUAGUUGAACUUAGAUUCGAGUUCAAGAUAUUAAUUAAGACGAGGCCUUAUUCUGGAUCUAGAGGAACAAACUAUUAUCUUCUGAUCACAUAUUUGGGCUUCUUCCUUUCCUUUAAAAAUGUCAAAUACUUACCUUUGGAUGAUCACUAGUGCCAACCCACGAGUCAAAGAUAGAUUGUGAUGAGUUUUCUGGAUCUCGAACCUCAAAAAGACAUUUUGAAAUUUUAGUUAUAGUUUGUGAGUAAAAAAUUGGAAACACUGACAAUUUUUAUGUUUCUAAAAUCAACUCUAGCACAGGCAUAUAGUUUAUUCAGCCGCCAAGCACUGCUUUGAUUGCAAUUACUUAAAAGUGGUGCUGUAGGCAUAUAGCAUUUAUAAGACUUUUCAGUAUAAUAUCAAUAAUAUUUGUAAUUUUUUGUAUCGGUAAGCUUUAAAAUGUUGCCAUUGCUUGCAACUGCAAUUUUUAUUGGCAAAUUUUUUGUUCUGGUUACAAACUUAUUUAAUACCUGUUUAGUAGCUUGCAUCAAUAAUUGAUCCAGCUGUGGAGUUGCUGCAGCUUGAAAUCCUGCUCCACUAACUGCAACAUCAACAUUCAGGUAGGCUACAACCCUUGAGGUUAGCAUUUCCCUGUUCUCUUCAACCCAUUCUGUUGAACCUAUCUGUACAUUGCUAAUAAUUUGAAUUUAGUAAAAAUUUUCAUGUGCUGUCUACUGUCUUUGUGCAUGUGUAGUGUGUGUUCCUUGAAAUUGAGAGGUAGAGAAAGAGACCAGGCCAUACUCCUCUGCAUCCCAAUUACAAAAGAUGAUUGUCCGUCUUGGUUUCCACCCCUUUUUCUGCAACUUGCUUAGCCUAUCGGCAACCUAAGUAGCACAUAUAAUCAAGUGAAUGUAAGGGUUAGUACUUUCACUUGGAGACCUUGGUUUGACUUGUACUAUUUUAAAGAGGAUGCAUGAAUGCAAGGCGACCUCAAGCAAAGCUGCUGUGCCACUGUUGGGAUCAGCAGCUCCAAAAGUCCAUGCAUCUCUAUGAUUACCCAGUAUUACAAACCUGCAAAUGGUUUCCACCUAUAGUAGUUAAAUUUCUACAAAACAAGUUUCAGUGUUUGAUUGAAGUCUGUACAACUCAAACAAAUAAAAUUAAUCUACUGUCAGGGAAACCAAUACCGAUCAGGUUCUUCCUCCCCUUCAAUUAUACCUAUAACAUUUUCUAUUGUAUUAAUGCCUUGUUUUCCCUGCAAAAUAAAAGAACAAUUACAGUGCAACAGUUCACUCUCGGCUAUUAUAUCCCCUGUCAAUUUCAUAGCCACAAUACAGUUAGAAUUAUGGUCCGUCAGUCACUUACAGUGUAACUGAGAUUUAAGAUGCCCGGCCCUGGUCCAAUGUUGUAAACUGGACCAUCUUUGCAUCCCUGCCAGUCAUUGUCUGCCAUUUCUCCACCAAUGGACUUUAUAAUUGCCUCACCGUCUGCUGCUGAUACAGGCAGUGAAGGUAUCAAUGGAAUGUCUCCUCCCUUGUCCACCUCAUCAUCAGAGAUUCUCUCACACCCUCCCGUGCUCGGCCACCCUGUUGUGGUUGGAUCUCCACAUCCAUUAUACAGUGUUCCUACUUGGACUCCACUUGGUGGCAUCCACUUAUCAUGAGGAAACCCUUUUCCAUCACCUCCACCCCCAUAGUCCUUUUUAUCCGUGAAUAACACAGCACCUAUAGCACCAGCUUGGUAUGCAUUUGCCACAAUGUCCCCUCUAUAUAUUUGUCCCAUCCUAGCCAAUACAACAGUGCCCGACACAUUCACCCCUCUUGUUUUCAAAAUCAUAAAAUCUUCCACACGUCCAUAAUUAACAUAGACAACUGGUCCGACCACAGUACCUGAUCUAGCAUAUGCAUAGAACGUAGGUAGGACUUCAUCUGCCACGUCUAUGUAGGGGUCACCCUCGUAUGUCUCUUGUUGAAGUUCAAAUUUAGUAGUUGUGCCCGAAGGUGGAUGAGUCAGUGCUAGUGACCUCGAGACAGGAUAAGUCAAUGAUACUCCAUAUGAUCUAAUAUGUGAUCGGAUAUCAUAGGAAGAUAGAGUAGACAGAACAUAGCGUGCGACCUCAGCAUUAGCUUCAGUGCCUGCAACAUGGGGUCUGCGAGUUGGUGAAUAGAGGUGUUGCGAGACUGAAACAUUGUCUGAAAAGGUACUUGAAAUAUAUAGUAAAGUGAUUGGAUUUUUCUACCUUUGAUUCUCUAUCAUGGUUGGCAUUUUUGGACUGCAUAGCAUCAGAAGUAGAUAUACUCAAAUUAUUGAGGAAGAAAUGUGUAAUCAAUGUGUGAUAUCAUUCUGAUUAUACAAUCUAGAUUAUCUCUUAAUUAAGGUAAUUAGCAUGCGCAUUAUGAGCAUUAUAAGGCAGAGAUAUUUGUAGAAUAGUUAAAGCUGAUAAAAGCCACAUUCUUGAAUAUUUUUUCUGGCAUGAAGAAGCUAAAUGCCAAAAGGAGUGGGGGCAAUGAAAUUAAGUUUUGUUUGUUGAGAGUUGCUUUUCAAAGUCACAUUUCACAAGGGGUUUAAGUCAUACUAAUAAUAGGACCAGUAUAUGUCACUUGUCCAUUUCCUGGUGUAAAGUUAAAAGCUAAUUUCAUAUAUCUGAGUUUCAGUUUGUUUAACAGAAAUCUAUCCAUGUUGGUUUCACAUUAGGGUGUUGUUCUUGGCCAUUGAUGCCAAGCUGUGUAUCUGUAUUAGUACCUAUAGAGGAUUCCAUUAAUAAAUUUCCAGGAGCAAUAAAACAUGCACCAGUGGAUUAAUUAGAUGGGAGAUGGUGUCUGGCAAUCGUAUUCUGACAACAAACUUUAUGCGCUUUUUUAUAGCGGAAUUAUGAAAAUCUGGAAUGUGUGUUUAAAGCGCUGAUAGACAACAUGGUGUCCUGUUCACAUAAAAAAUCAUGGUGUCUUUCGGUAAUUGUUAGGAACCCGGUUCAUGAAGAGUUUUUUAAGUGAAAACCUGAAAUCUUGUGGCCUUUAGGAGUACCUGCAUCUCUCCUGCGUUAGAGUGUUUCUACGGAAUUAAUAUAUUUACUACUGUAUAAAUUUUGUUUGAGCUCUAUAAAAGAACAAUUUGACGAUCCACAACUAAAGAUCAACUUUAACUUGAGUUGGUUUGUUGAGCUCGAGGNAAGGUGGAUGAGUCAGUGCUAGUGACCUCGAGACAGGAUAAGUCAAUGAUACUCCAUAUGAUCUAAUAUGUGAUCGGAUAUCAUAGGAAGAUAGAGUAGACAGAACAUAGCGUGCGACCUCAGCAUUAGCUUCAGUGCCUGCAACAUGGGGUCUGCGAGUUGGUGAAUAGAGGUGUUGCGAGACUGAAACAUUGUCUGAAAAGGUACUUGAAAUAUAUAGUAAAGUGAUUGGAUUUUUCUACCUUUGAUUCUCUAUCAUGGUUGGCAUUUUUGGACUGCAUAGCAUCAGAAGUAGAUAUACUCAAAUUAUUGAGGAAGAAAUGUGUAAUCAAUGUGUGAUAUCAUUCUGAUUAUACAAUCUAGAUUAUCUCUUAAUUAAGGUAAUUAGCAUGCGCAUUAUGAGCAUUAUAAGGCAGAGAUAUUUGUAGAAUAGUUAAAGCUGAUAAAAGCCACAUUCUUGAAUAUUUUUUCUGGCAUGAAGAAGCUAAAUGCCAAAAGGAGUGGGGGCAAUGAAAUUAAGUUUUGUUUGUUGAGAGUUGCUUUUCAAAGUCACAUUUCACAAGGGGUUUAAGUCAUACUAAUAAUAGGACCAGUAUAUGUCACUUGUCCAUUUCCUGGUGUAAAGUUAAAAGCUAAUUUCAUAUAUCUGAGUUUCAGUUUGUUUAACAGAAAUCUAUCCAUGUUGGUUUCACAUUAGGGUGUUGUUCUUGGCCAUUGAUGCCAAGCUGUGUAUCUGUAUUAGUACCUAUAGAGGAUUCCAUUAAUAAAUUUCCAGGAGCAAUAAAACAUGCACCAGUGGAUUAAUUAGAUGGGAGAUGGUGUCUGGCAAUCGUAUUCUGACAACAAACUUUAUGCGCUUUUUUAUAGCGGAAUUAUGAAAAUCUGGAAUGUGUGUUUAAAGCGCUGAUAGACAACAUGGUGUCCUGUUCACAUAAAAAAUCAUGGUGUCUUUCGGUAAUUGUUAGGAACCCGGUUCAUGAAGAGUUUUUUAAGUGAAAACCUGAAAUCUUGUGGCCUUUAGGAGUACCUGCAUCUCUCCUGCGUUAGAGUGUUUCUACGGAAUUAAUAUAUUUACUACUGUAUAAAUUUUGUUUGAGCUCUAUAAAAGAACAAUUUGACGAUCCACAACUAAAGAUCAACUUUAACUUGAGUUGGUUUGUUGAGCUCGAGGUUGACUCGGUUGACAACGAAUCGGCUGAAAACCAAAUGAUAGGUCCGUGAAUAUCUUGAGAUCGGAUCGAAUUGGGUUCAGCUUAAGAUAGUGAGUAAUAAGUGAUAAGUGAUAACUGAUAACUCAUACUCCCUCCGUCCCAGUGAAUUGUAUACAGUUUCCUUUUUGGGAAGUCCCGUAUACAUUCCAAAAGUAGUAAACUUUUAUAAUAUAAAAUAUCAUUACACCAACUACUUUCCUCCACUAUCUAUAUUCUAUAAUAAUAUAAAUACUAUUACACCCACUACUUUCCUCCACUAUCUCAAAUCUAUUAUUAAAUAUUAAUGGAUCCCACCAUUAUACCCACUUUUCAUCUAACUUUACUCAUUUCCUACACAAUUUAUUGGUCUCCGUGUCCCAGCCAUUUGUAUACAAAUGACUGGGACGGAGGGAGUAACUGAUAACUAUCAUUAUUACAUGAGUUUGUUGCAUGAUGGAGUAUUAUUUUUGUGAAAUAACUUAAGGCUUAAAGUGUGAGUUUUGUGCAGUGUUGUAAAAAGCGGGAAUCGGACUUAAUCGGUGAAGUUACGGAACAAGGAUUAAUCGGAGAUUAAUUGAACUAAUCGAGGAUUAAUCGGAUUGAUCAGUGAUUAAUCGGAGAUUUAAUCAGUUCGGCGAGCUACGGAACAAGGAUUAAUCGGUGAUUAAUCGUGAUUAAUCACCGACUUUUAGAACAGAGGUUUUGUGUGUAAAAUAUAAUCACUUGUAUCGCAAUCAUUUCACUAGAUAGGUUAGGUAGUCUCAAAUUCUCAGUGGGCUUUGUUUCCAUUUUUUAUUUUUUUCAAAUAAGGCUGAAAUUCAAACCGAGUUCGGGUUUGAAAAUUAAAUCCAGAUAUUCAAAAGAACAAAAUUUAAGAGGUUGCAACUUGAACUUAUUAUUUUAAAAACUAAACCUUUUUAUUUACUUUUAGUUAUAGUUAUCUUUGUUUGAUUUAAUUUGUUAUUAAUUAUGUUAAUAAUGUGGUGAAACAUUGUUUGAUUUAAUUUACUGAUUUAAUUUAUUUCUAGUUAUCUUAGUUAUGUAAUGGGCUAUAAAACUGCACAUUUUAUAAUAUAGAUGUAAAAUAUGAUAUCUGUAAAAAAAAUUAGUUAAAUUUAAUUAAGCGUUCAUUCCAACGUUCAGUUUGAUUUUCAUUCGGCAAUGAAAUGAAAAAUUAUAUAUUAUUUUUGUAUUUAAUUUCAGAUAUUAUAUAAUAUUAAAGGACUCAAAUAUAUUUAUUUUUAUAAUAAUAUAGUUUAUUCAUAUUUAUGAAUACAGUUUAUUAUUUAAAGAUUUUAUUAAUUUUUUAAAAUAACUUGACUUAUAAAUCAUAUCAAAAUUAUUUUUAAUUUGUAAAAACUAAAUUAAAAUCUCAAAAAUAUUUUACAUAACAAUUUUGUAAGUUAUUUUACAUAUUAAAAUAACUUGGCAUUACUGUUGCUGGCAGGCUUGCAGCAACAUCAUCUUUUUUCUGAAAAGCGGUUAAAAACUGUUUGGUAAAUCUGAAAACAGUUUUUUGGAACACUAUUUUUCAGAUGAAAAGCUGUUUUUAGAAAAAGCAGGUCCGUUGAUACGUUGAAAAAAAAACUUUUUUCCAACUUUUGCAUGAAGCUAUUAUAGAUUUCAGUAUCAAAAUUCACCAAAACAUUAUUUUUAUAUUAUAACUCAAAAUAAGUAAAUAUUACCUCAUAUCUUGAUACAACUUUUUAUUUCAGUUGCAACAAAUUCUAAUUAUUUCCCAAAAAGCACAUUCCCUCUAUUUUUCUUCGAAGAUUAUGGAAUUAUGCCAUAACAUUGAUAUAUAAACUAAAGGGAAAAUAGAUUUUUUUUGCCACCCAAUUUAUUAUUUGUUUAGAAACCUACCAUUGAACUAUAAUUUUUUUCUUUUUUGUCACUAAUGUUAGGUUCGGACUUUUUUUUGUCACUAACGUUAGGUUCGGAUUUGAUUAUUAACACUAUGUUAUUUUUUUAGUAUUAUUAAACUAUAGUGUUAGUAUGCAAUAUAAUGGCGAUCUGAUAUGUGUCUAUAUCUUUAUGUAGUAUCCUAGGUAGUUUACCUUGAAGGACGAGAGUUGGACACGCAUUUUGAGACUCCAAAAAAUUUCAAAAAUUAUUUUAUUUUAUUUUUUCUGAAUAAAAUUUAAUGUUGGUUUUUUUUCCUUAAAAAAACUUUGGAUUUUUUUUGUCACUAACGUUAUGUUUUGAUUUGAUUAUUAACAAUAUGUUAUUUUUUUUAGCAUUAUAAAAACAUAGUGGUAGUCUGCAAUAUUAUGGUGAUAUGAUAUGUGUCUAUAACAUUAUAUACAGUCAUCUAUAUGUCCCUUAGCUAGUUUACCUUAAGUAUGAGAGUUUAACAGGCAUUUUAAGAACCUAAAAAAUUUAGUUUUAUGAAUUAUUUUAAGACUCCACAAAUAUAUAGUAUCACUUGACUUUAUAGUUCUUUACCACUACUUGUCACGUAUUUUAAGGUUCCCACUUUUUAUAAAUAUAGUUCUAUAAGUUAAUUUUGAGAUUUCCUUUCUGAGUAAAAAAAUCCGUACUCUCGUCCUCUAAGAUAAACUACCUAUGACACAUAUGGAGUACUACAUAUAAAGAUAUAGACACAGAUCACUAUUAUAUUGCAGACUACCGAAAAAUAGAUUUCCGAAAAAUAUCGUUUGGAUGGUCAGAAAAUUUAAAUAAAGGUCUGAUUUUAAUUAAAUAUAAUAAAAUUUCCCAAAAUGCCCCUUCAAAAGUUAACGGUAACGGCAGAAGAUAACGGAAAGGGUGCAAAGUGUCUACGGGUUAAAAGUAAGGGGCUGCAUAGUGUUUAUUCCAAAACUAUUAGGUGCAAUGUGCAACAUGCUGAAAUUAAAGGGGUGCCAAAUGCAAUUAACUCUAAAAAGAAUAACAUAGUGUUAAUAAUCAAAUCCAAACCUAACGUUAGUGACAAAAAAAAAAUCCGAACCUAACAUUAGUGGCAAAAAAGAAAAAAAUUAUAGUUCAGUUGUAGGUUUCUAAACAAAUAAUAAGUUAGGUUGCAAAAAAAUCUAUUUUCUCUAAACUAAAACAUUAUUUACAAUCAAUAAAUUCACUAAUGGAUAACCUAAUAAGUAAGAGAAAAAUCUGUACCCAACGUGGUAUAUUAGAUCUUUAGUGCUUGCAGAAGAGAGGGAAAUAGAAAUUUUUAUUGUUUCCAUUGGUCACUCUGUUCACCAAAUUCAGCAAACAAUAUGCAUAUUCUUCAAAUCGUUAAAAAAAAGAGUUCAAAUUUGACAAAAACUUAUAUAUAAUAUAUUUUAAAAAUGUGCAUUAUAUCCUAAUAAUAAUAAUAAUACAAGCCAAACUACUAAUUACAUACACGAAAUAUGUAUUCAAUCCACGAAAAUGCAUAUAUUCCCAACUUUCAAACGGAUAGCUACGAAACAUGCUCUCAUAAUUAGAUGCAUAUCUCCAAGCGUACCUAUUUUCUUUUGAUGUCAUUUGAAAUUAAUAUAAAAAAAAUAAACUAAACUCUUGUUAGAAUUCAUCUAAUAACUUAUAUUUAUUACCUUAUUGAGAUUCUUUUUCAAAUGUUUUGACUUUCAAUUUUUCUUUUAAAUCAAUAUAUGACGGGAAAAUCAAUUUUUCAAAAUUUACACAAAGUUAAGUUUCUAGAAUAUUAAAUUCAAGAUAUCUAAUAUUUUUGCAACAUAGACAAACAAAAAUAAGAAAGUAGAAGCCCGUUUGUGAUUAAUAUAUAUGUUUGUAAAUAAACUCAUGACUGCUAAAUGAACUAUCAUCACACCCUAAGGGAUGCUAGUAUAUUUUGGAAGAUAAUCAACGUCAACCAGAUUUACACUUUUCAAAUUAGCAACAAUGCUCUCUAACUCCAGUUCAAUUACAUUUAGAAUGACACGCAUGUUUAAAAAAAUUAAGAAAAAAUAUAGUAUUAGUGUCAACAUGAUAAUAAUAUAUACCGUUGCACUUUUACCGUGGCCUCGGAUAACAAAAUAUCUUCAUGUAUUCUUCAACUGCUAUUGACGGAUUUAGAGUUAAUUUUCUAGAAUAAUAAAUUUAAGAUAUCUAAUUUUUUGUAACAUAGACAAAACAAAAUAAAAAAGUAGGAGUUGAGAUUGCCCAUUUGUGAUUAAUAUAUCUGUUUGUAAAUAAACUCAUGAUUGCUAAGUGAACUAUCAUCACACCCUCUUUUUCCGCCGUAAAAAAAAAAGCUUCAAGCAUCUGAAUCAGAUCUUCAUGGUUUGAAUUUUUAAGAUUAUCACGGCAAGAUAUUUGAUACUGUGAAGUUGAUGUAGCAAGGUCGCCCCAUUUUCUUCUAAAAUUUGUAAUAAUAGUGUUAAAAGAUACGUGAUUAACUCUUAAAUAAUUAGCUAGCAUGCAGCAUAACAAAAGUACACUGGACCGUAUAACAUAUUAUGAAGGUCGAAACUGUUACAAAAAAUACAACAAUGUUAUAUUGAUAAUGUAUGAAUUAUAUUUACAUGUAUUAAUAAUUGAAACAUAGAGAAUAUAUAUAGUGUUUGGAACUAAGAGACAUCUUUGUAAUUAUCUCUCAUAAUAAGAUCCAUACAUUUACAAAUUUAAAGAAUUUGAAUCUCUAUGUUGGCUCAAAAGUCAUUAUAAUCUCUGAAUUCGAGAGGGAUGCUAGUAUAUUUUGAAAGAUAAUCAAUGUCAACCAGAUUUACACUAUUCAAAUUAGCAACAAUGCUCUCCAACUCCAAUUCAAUUACAUUUAGAAUGACACACAUGUUUAAAAAAAUUAAGAAAAAAUAUAAUAUUAAUGUCAACAUGAUAAUAAUAUAUACCGUUGCACUCUUAGUGUGACCUCUGUCGGAUAUCUUCAACUGCUAUUGACGGAUUAACAAUGUUUUUUUUGACAAUUUAGAAAUGUUUAUAAUUUUCUAAACAUCAUCAUUAUGUGAAUCACACAAAAUGCUGCCCAUGUUCCGUUGAAAAAUAUACAUAUUAUGAAGGUCUAUACUGCUAAAAAAAAUACAACAAAUGUUAUACAGAUAAUGUAUGAAUUAUAUAUACAUAUAUUAACAAUUUAAUAAUUAAAACAUAGAGAACAUACGUAGCGUUUGAAACAAAGAGACGCUUUCUACAAAAUGAUUUCAUCUCACACAAUAAGAUUCACACAUUCCCAAAUUUAAAGAUUUUGAAUCUCUAUGUUGGCUCGAGAGUCAUUGUAAUGGUCUCAUCUCCCACAAUAACAUCCACACAUUCACAAAUUUAAAGAUUUUGAAUCUCUAUGUUGUCUCGAGAGUCAUUGUAAUCUUUGAAUUCGAGAAUAAUGCUACUAUAUUUUGUAAGAUAAUAACUCAAUCAGAUUUACAUUCUUCAAAUUAGUAAUAAUGCUCUCCAACACCAGUUCAAUUACAUUUACAAUGACAUGCAUGUUUAAAACAAUUAAGAAAGAUAUAAUUAAUAUCACUCACAAUGACAACAUGAUAAUAAUAUAUAUCGUUUCACUCUUCUUGUUUCUUUUGUCAAAUAACAAAAUAUCUUCAUGUAUUCUUCAACUGAUAUUGACGAAGAUCCAUUAACAAGGAAGAAAACAUUUUAUAAAAUAUUUUUUAGACAAUUUAGAAAUGUUUGUAAUUUUCUUAACAGCAUCAUUAUGUGAAUCACACAAAAUGCUGCCAAUGUUCCGUUUCUUUAAGUUUAUCACGAGAUAAAGGUCUUAAAAACAUAUCAUGUACAAAAAAAAAAGUAAUGCACAAUAAAUACGAAACAAUCAACUAUUGGUAUUUUGAAUAACAAAAAUUAUUAUACUAAAAAAGAGUCAUUAAACUUUUAUAAAUUUCCUUACAUGAAAAUUAAUUACUAAUUUCUAAAAACACAUGAAUAUUAAAGUUCGUCUAAUCCAAAUUUUUUUAAAACAAUUCACACAUCAUACUAGAGGAUAAAAUUAUAUGUAGCAAAUGAUAAAAUAUUAAGAGAAAUUUUGGUAAAAUUAGAAAAUAAAAAUUUACACGGGGUUAGAUUCAAGCGGGGAGAAUACAUUACUCUCACCUAGAUCUAUGUUAUAAUGGAAGAGCUCUUUUACUCUAUUUGUCAACCCCGUUUUCAAGGUACCUCAUAUUCUAUUUAUAAGCUUCAUCUAGGAUUGUUGUUGCUUCUUCAGCCCCGUAGUGGGCUUUGUUUGUCUUUGUUGGACUGUGGCCUGACUUCUGUGGGCUGUGGCCCAACACACCUAUAAUAUAUACUCGAGGAUAUCACAUGGCCUCAAAAAUUGAUAUAUUUAUAUAAUACUGACUCCACUUUGGGUAUAUCACCCUAUAAUUUUCCUUUUACAAUUAAAGUUACCCGCUUUGCUACUUGAAACUAAAAAAGCAUCUUCCUAUAUAUUCUCCCUCACAAGGCCAUCAAUUAUUCUAUUUUAACAAAAAGUUAAACUUUCAAUUUAUUUUAAAGAAUAAUUGAAAUAUGUUAUUAAAUACAUGUAUCAUUCAUAAAAAUCAAACUCUUAAUUUAUAUUAAGAAUCAUAAAAAUUCAUUAAUAUGUAAUAAUUGAGGUAAAUAACAAAGGUUAAAGGUCAAAUCUUGAAGAAUGUCAAGUCAAAGUCCCAGGCUUUUCUUAAGUUUGCAAGAAUAAUUGAUUCAUCGGGAAACAAGAACUAUGAUAAUUGAAGUGAUUAAGACCGUUUGGCUUAAUUAAAAUAAGUGAGUUAUUGUUUAAUGUAAAAAAGAGGAUUAUCUAUAUCUAUAUUAUUAUUCUUAAAGCAUGAACUUUUUUAAGGCUAUUCCGGUAAAUUCACAUGCUCUUGGAUCAACCUAUUAGCCAUCUGGAUCUGAUGUAGAGAAGCUAAAACCAGUUUCUUCCCUAUUCAAAUUAACACUCUGCUUUUAAAUUUCGGAUCUUCGUGUAACUCGACCCGGAUUAAGUUGAAUCUCAUAGUAUCUUCCAACCACAUUAGAAUUUGAAAAAAGACAUUGAAUUUAGUUCCUUCAAUCGUGACACUCAUUACGCCUCUAUUUCAAAACAAAUCAGACUUUGAAAUUUGCAUUAAUCACAAAUCUGAAAAUAACGCAUCUGAUCUCGAUAUUAGUUUAAAUAGUCUGAUUUUCGAAUUUGAGGAGUGGUGUCUGCUGUUCUUCAUGCCAUCGAUGUAAGUUAUGGUUUUUCCUUGAAGAUGAGAUAUAAACAAUUGCAAUAUGAAUGUAAUGAUGUGNAUAAACAAUUGCAAUAUGAAUGUAAUGAUGUGUUUUUUUUUUUUUUUGAAGAUAUCUUUAAAGUUUUUCUAUUUUUUGAAUCUUAUGAUUUGUACUGGUUUAGAUUGUACAUCAUAGCAUCUUUCAGAUUUCUGUCUAUACGGUGUUAUUUCAACCUUGUAGAUCGAAAAGGAGGAGUGAUCUCUCAUGUUCUUUGUAACAUUGUUGUUGGUUGUGAGUUUUGGAUAUAAAUUAUACAUAUCAUAUAACCAAUGCUUCUGCUUUUAAUUUAAUGAGAACAUAAUUGUUUUUCCUGAAAAUGAGAACAUAAUUGUUAAUUAGUCUAGCAAAAUUAUAGUCCAUGAAUCAAACUAUUGAAUACUGCAUCCAUUCUCGUAUCUCGCAUUUCCCAUAUAAAUAUAGCACGAAUCUGACGGACAAUAAUCCUCUAUUGGCCUGUUCAUAUAAAAAAGUAUAAAUAUUUAAUUAUUUAUAAACUAAAAUCUAGAAUUUCAAUAAAAAAAUUUAUAUUUUAGUUCUUACUCCCUCUGUCCCGGUCAAUUGUAUAUGUUUCUUUUUCAUUGCUCGACACGCUUUUUAAGGCUCUUAUAAAACAUAGCUCUACAACUUAUUUUUAAGAUUUUCUUUUUUUUAUAAAAAUAUAACAUUUAUAUUUUUAUACAAAAAAAGAAAAUCUUAAAAGUAAUUUACAUAACUAUAUUAUAUUAAAGUAUUAAAGUUCGUGCCGCGCCCCCGUCCCCGAUGUAUACUAUUGACCGGGACGGAGGGAGUAUCCAAUUAUGAAUACAUCCUCGUCAAUAUCACGUGACGGCCCACAGAUCAAUUAAACAAACACUUAUCCAUCUCUAAUUCUCUAUCUAUAAAUACACGUACACACACAUCUACACUCUCAUUCACUACCAAUAAUACACACAGUUGCAAAUAAACAUGAAGAGCACAGGAAAGAGCAGCUCAAAUCCCAAGGCAACCGGAAAAUCCGGUCACGAAGCCCGAAAAGAUCGCCAGUCCGGCACCGGAGUCACCGGAUCACCGAAGAAAGGCGGUCACGGCGGCAAGUUCACCUGGUCCGGCGAUAACGCAAACCUCGGGAACGAUGAGUUCAUCGCCGCCGUUGAUCGUAAUGACCCUAACUUUGAAGAUCCCGAUGUUGCUGUAGCGGAGAAUUAAUAGAUUAUUAUUCGAUAGAUGUAUGUAUGUAUAUGUUUGUUUUUCUGGUAUUAAGUUGUAUCGAUAUAUGGAUUUAUCUCUGUAUGAUGAAGUAUCGAUCAUUAUAAAAUUGUCGCGAUUUAAUUUUUCUCGUAACAUCGAUCCGGUUCGGAGUCCGAAAAUAUGUUUAUAAUAAUAUAAUGAAAGAUUGUGAUAAUAUGCAUAUCAGAAUACAAUGCA